GCAACACUCAGCCACCGAAACCCUAAUCCAGCUACCCUCUCCCCCAAGACUCAGCAGCAGCUGCGCAGCCCCUAUGCUAAACACACACAUGCUGUUCCUCGAAAAAGAAAGAAGGAAACAAACAAAGAAAGAAAGAGCGAUCUGAGGGAGAGAAGGAGGGGAGGGCGGGCCUUUACCGCUGUCCAACCCGCCGCGCCUCGCCGCCCUUGCCGUCAUGGAGGAGAGAACACAGGGAAGAGACUACGCCGCGCACUGGGCUUCACCACCGCCAUCGCGCCGUCGUCUGGCCGAGGAGGAAGAAGAGCGCCGCGCCACACCGUCGCAUCGCGCCCCGCUAUCGCCGCCUGUGCUGCAGCCCUUCGCGUUUCGCGUCGCCGUGAGUCACGACCAGAGGAGAGAGAGAGACCAUGAGAGGGACGUGGAGUCGGCGUCGCGCAGGGAGGCACUCACCGCUGCCGUUGCGCUCUGUCGUGUGCCGUCAUUGCUGUCUGAGCAGUCAUCAUCCCCUCCGUCCUGCUACUCUGGUCCGCCGCCGCCACUGCUGGAGGUCUGCCCGAUCUGAUCCGAAGGGAAGAAAGAGGUCCAGGCCGCCGCUGCUACUUGCGUUGUGAGCUGCUGCACCAGCCACCGCCGCAGGUGUCACCGCUGGAGAAGGGAGCUACGCCUCUGUGUUCCUGGCAGCCGGGAGUGGUUCCGUGACUUCUGGGACCACCGCCGAAGCCUCUGGCUGUUUUUGCCGUCACCAGAGAAUCCUGCCGUCGCCAGAGUCUGAUCACCGUUGCCGCCUAGGAUGGCUUCUGGGGCUGCCGCUGAACCGGUUCGGAGACCGCCGCUGUUUCGGUUCAGCCGUUCCUUCGGUUCGAGUCGUUGUGGUUGCUGAGAAAACGGUUUGGAGCUGAGGUAUUGGUAGCCGGGAUUUUGAUUGUUGAUUUCGGGUCAAGGCGGAAAGGACUCUGUGACGCGUUUGGGUUAUGGAAUUUGCGUUUUGAGGUACGGGCGCUUUCCGAAAACUAUAUUUUGUAUAUUGGAAUUAUUACAUAUGGGUACUGAUGUGAAGAUGUGUAUUUGGUGAUUGUGUAAGUCCUAUGUAUGGUUUGGUUGUUUUGUAUGAUUAUGGGUGUUUGUUUGACUCGACUGUUGGGUGGCUUGUGAAACGAAAUGCUUUUGAAAUUGAUUCUUUUAAAGCUUUGAGAUCGAGUUGAAUCCGUUGGAAAUUGAUUUGGAUUGAAUGGAUUUUCUUGAGAAUGUGUAAAAUAGAAUACACUCUUGAUUUCAGCCUGGCUGGCUUUAAAUGAUCUGGCUUUUGAUAAAUGAUUGUUGCUGAACCUUUUCUUUAAAGCCUUAGAAAUGAGUUUAUUCGGCUGAUAAUGAUUUGAUGU